CCGCUGAACUUAAGCAUAUCAAUAAGUGGAGGAAAAAGAAACUAACAAGGAUUCCCCUAGUAACGGCGAGUGAAGCGGGAAGAGCUCAAAUUUGUAAUCUGGCACCUUUCGGUGUCCGAGUUGUAAUCUCGAGAAAGUGUUUUCCCGCGCCAGACCGCAUAUAAGUCUGUUGGAAUACAGCGUCAUAGUGGUGAGAACCCCGUAACUGAUGCGGAUGCCUGGUGCUCUGUGAUACACUUUCGAAGAGUCGAGUUGUUUGGGAAUGCAGCUCAAAUUGGGUGGUAAAUUCCAUCUAAAGCUAAAUAUUGGCGAGAGACCGAUAGCGAACAAGUACCGUGAGGGAAAGAUGAAAAGCACUUUGGAAAGAGAGUUAACAGUACGUGAAAUUGUUGGAAGGGAAACGCUUGAAGUCAGACUUGCUAUUUGGAGUUCAGCCGCAAGGUGUAUUCUUCAAUUUGCAGGCCAGCAUCAGUUUUUAGGGGUGGAAAAGGGUAUUGAGAAGGUAGCAGUUUCGGCUGUGUUAUAGCUCUUUACUGGAUUCAUCCUUGGGGACUGAGGAACGCAGUACGCUUUUUGCAAGGCUUUCGGGCUUUUCGUACUUAGGAUGCUGGUGGAAUGGCUUUAAACGACCCGUCUUGAAACACGGACCAAGGAGUCUAACAUGCUUGCGAGUAUUUGGGUGUCAAACCCGGAUGCGCAAUGAAAGUGAAUGUAGGUGGGAUCCGCAAGGUGCACCAUCGACCGAUCCGGAUUUUCUAAGAUGGAUUUGAGUAAGAGCAAUUAUGUUGGGACCCGAAAGAUGGUGAACUAUGCCUGAAUAGGGCGAAGCCAGAGGAAACUCUGGUGGAGGCUCGUAGCGGUUCUGACGUGCAAAUCGAUCGUCAAAUUUGGGUAUAGGGGCGAAAGACUA
rnacentral:rRNA from 1 species